rnacentral:rRNA from 1 species
GACAGAGGUGCCAAGCGUUAGGCGGAAUCACUGGGCUUAAAGCGUGUGUAGGCGGAUGCCUAAGUACCUUGUGAAAUCCCCCGGCUCAACCGGGGAACUGCUGGGUAUACUGGCGGUCUUGAGCCACUUAGGGGCUACCGGAACAAAUGGUGGAGCGGUGAAAUGCGUAGAUAUCAUUUGGAACGCCAAUGGUGAAAACAGGUAGCUGGGAGUGUGCUGACACUGAGACACGAAAGCCAGGGGAGCAAACGGG